rnacentral:rRNA from 1 species
GACGAACGCUGGCGGCGUGCUUAACACAUGCAAGUCGAACGGAAAGGCCCUGCUUUUGUGGGGUGCUCGAGUUGCGAACGGGUGAGUAACACGUGAGUAACCUGCCCUUGACUUUGGGAUAACUUCAGGAAACUUGGGCUAAUCCCGGAUAGGAGCUCCUGCUUCUUGGUGGGGGUUGGAAAGUUUCGGCGGUUGGGGAUGUAAUCGCGGCCUAUCAGCUUGUUGGUGGGGUAGUGGCUUACCAAGGCUUGGACGGGUAGCCGGGCUGAGAGGGUAACCGGCCAAAUUGGGACGGGGAUACGACACAGACUAGUAUGGGAGGCAGCGGUGGGGAAUAGUGCACAAGGGGCGGAAGCCUGAUGCAGCAAAGCAGCGUGGGGGAUGACGGGCUGCGGGUAGGAAACCGAUGUCGCCUGUGACGAAGCGUGAGUGACAGUAAUGGGUAAAGAAGCUCCGGCUAACUACGUG